rnacentral:rRNA from 1 species
GGAGUUUGGUCCGUGUCUCAGUACCAAUGUGGGGGACCUUCCUCUCAGAACCCCUACUGAUCGUCGCCUUGGUGGGCCGUUACCCCGCCAACAAGCUAAUCAGACGCAUCCCCAUCAUAUACCGCCGAAGCUUUGGUCCUCGUUAGAUGUCUGCAAAGGACAACAUCGGGUAUUAAUUCGGUUUUCACCGGGCUAUCCCCGAGUAUAUGGCAGGUUGGAUACGCGUUACUCACCCGUGCGCCGGUCGCCGUCAAGGGAAGCAAGCUUCCCUCACGCUGCCCCACGACUUGCAUGUGUUAAGCCUGUAGCUAGCGUUCAUC